GAAGGUAUAGCUCAGUGGUAGAGUGCAUGCCUAGCAUGCAUGAGGCCCUGGGUUCAAUCCUCAGUACCUCCA
rnacentral:tRNA from 1 species